CCCUUAGAUGUUCUGGGCCGCACGCGUGCUACACUGAGUGGAUCAGCGGGUCAGGUUGCGCGAAAGCGUUUCCUAAUCUUGAAAUCCGCUCGUGAUGGGGAUUGACGGUUGCAAUUUUCUGUCAUGAACGAGGAAUACCUUGUAAGCGCGAGUCAUCAUCCCGCGCUGAAUACGUCCCUGCCCUUUGUACACACCGCCCGUCGCUCCUACCGAUUGAGUGGUCCGGUGAGGCUUUGGGAUCUGGGCGGAAAGAGCGUUUCGCUCGUUCUGCCCGGAAAACUCAGUCGAACCUUAUCAUUUAGAGGAAGGAGAAGUCGUAACA
rnacentral:rRNA from 1 species